rnacentral:rRNA from 1 species
AUUGAACGCUGGCGGCAGGCCUAACACAUGCAAGUCGAACGAGUGGCGGACGGGUGAGUAAUGUCUGGGAAACUGCCUGAUGGAGGGGGAUAACUACUGGAAACGGUAGCUAAUACCGCAUACCAUCAGAUUGGCCCAGAUGGGAUUAGCGAGUUGGUGGGGUAACGGCUCACAAAGGCGACGAUCCCUAGCUGGUCUGAGAGGAGGACCAGCCAAACUGGAACUGAGACCCGGUCCAGACUCCUUCGGGAGGCGGCAGUGGGAAAUAUUGCACAAUGGGCGCAAGCCUGAUGCAGCCAUGCCGCGUGUAUGAAGAAGGCCUUCGGUUUGUAAAGUACUUUCAGCGGGGAGGCGUUACCCGCAGAGGAAGCACCGGCUAACUCCGUGCCAGCAGCCGCGGUAAUAC